UCCAGUCGAAGAAGACUCACGUAUCUACAAAUUCCAAUUUUCGUUUCGUAAAACGGUACGCUAUAUUUCUCGUAUCAAUCGCCGCCGUUUUACCGUUUUUAAGAAAUUCUGUUUUUGAGUUCUAAAUCGAUCUUCCUGAAUUUUGAUUCGUUUGGCAGCCGUUCGGAGGUCGAAAUCAAUUCCGUUUGUUUCCCGUGAAAGUAGACUCACACAUCUACGUUUCUACACUUUUUGUUCGUUAAACGACCCGUCGACUGCUCGUGCUUCGGAGUCUACGCAGGGUUAGCUGUUUGCCAAGAUCACGUGGAUAAGCAAGCAGUUUAUGAUUUGAAAGCUGGUCCACUCCGAUUCUUUUGAUUCCUCGGAGGUUUUUAUGUUAUUUAAACUAGUUACUAUUUUCGAACACUUAGACCGCAGUAGAACUAGUUUAUAUGUUACAUUCAAUAUUACACUUUGGGAUUGUCGAAUUUGAUCGACUAUUUAUUAUUAGCAUAUUUACACUGGAAUAUUUUAUUAUUAUAUUUAAGGCAUGCUGUGGAAUAUUUUCAGCUA